GAAAACACUCAUGUACGCCGCCUCUCCUGCUUCUGAAGCAACAAAGAACACGAAGCAUACGCUGCCCAGUGCUGAGACCUCUGCGCCUUGAACAGCAAAGGGAAAAUGUGUUCUGGAGAGCACUGAAGAGAGAGCAGCUGGGGCGCUUCUAAGCAGUGUGAGAUGAUGUGAGGUGCUCCAUGUGAGAUGAUGUGAGGUGCUCCAUGUGAGAUGAUGUGAGGUGCUCCAUGUGAGAUGAUUUGAGGUGCUCCAUGUGAGAUGAUUUGAGGUGCUCCAUGUGAAUUGAUUUGAGAUGCUCCGUGUGAGAUGAUUUGAGGUGCUCCGUGUGAGAUGAUUUGAGGUGCUCCUGAGCCAGGAGGAAGCCGCAUGGAUCCUCACAAGUCUCUGUCUCUUGAACUCUGGGCAGAGAGACUGUUUCAGGCUGGCUUGACUUCCCCCAUCUUAGGUUUCCUGCCCUUCACAAGGCUUAGCGGGCAUGGCUUCAGCCUGGGUGGUCAGCGGCUCAUGCUGCUGAAGUGACUUCUGUGGUUUCUUUGUUUUAGAGGCUUCUAUUUAUGGCGAGUAACAUUGAUUUUUUUUUUCAUCUGCAGAACGAGAUCAUCAAGUUUCCCUUAAAGUAACUGGUUUCAGAUGCAUUUUGAUGAGGCCAUGCUGUAGGCAGGAUGCGGCUAUUUUAAAAGGCCUGAUGGAGGCUGGGCGACAUUCUUCAUAAACGCCAGUGACGGGGUUCCCUGUUCUCAUGGAGUGUCGGGAUGCUUUGGAAACCCUGUAUGUACUUACGGCGAAUGACCACACCGGGACAGCUUGUCAGGAGGCAGGAGUGACGUCACCUGUCAAUUUCUCUGGCUCAGUUAGCCCUACCCCAAAGGCCCUGCCUGUGCCCUGCAGCACUUUCCCGAAGGGCAGAGGGGCCUUGGAGGAGGAAGCCAUGGUCAACCCCACUGUGUUCUUCGACAUCACGGCCAAUGAUGAACCCUUGGGCCGCGUCUCCUUCGAGCUGU
rnacentral:lncRNA from 1 species